rnacentral:rRNA from 1 species
UACGUAGGGUGCGAGCGUUGUCCGGAAUUAUUGGGCGUAAAGAGCUUGUAGGCGGUUUGUCGCGUCUGCCGUGAAAAUCCGGGGCUCGACCCCGGACUUGCGGUGGGUACGGGCAGACUAGAGUGUGGUAGGGGAGACUGGAAUUCCUGGUGUAGCGGUGAAAUGCGCAGAUAUCAGGAGGAACACCGAUGGCGAAGGCAGGUCUCUGGGCCACUACUGACGCUGAGAAGCGAAAGCGUGGGGAGCGAACAGG